GCUCUCAGAAUUCCUGCCAAACUUCCAAAUAAAAGAUCCGCUACAAUUUCAAAAAGAAAUUGGCUAUCUUUCAGUUUGUCACUAAGUAUUGUUCAUGGGCAUGGUUCACCGGUACCGACAGCAUGAGCGAUGAUACAAGGUGUUUUACUUGUCGUGGAUAGAAGCAUAAUCCUUAAAGGGACUUGAGUCCCACGAAUUUUAUAUUUUAAACAAACAUUAUUAAUACAAGAAGUAUACCUUGUCGUGGAUAGAAGCAUAAUCCUUAAAGGGACUUGAGUCCCACGAAUUUUAUAUUUUAAACAAACAUUAUUAUGGUCUAAGCGAUUAAAGCAUACUGGCCAGUAGGGCAUCAGAAAAAAAAACCUAACAUUAUGGCUCUCAUAAUUCCUCCUAACUGCCAGACUUCCAAGAAAGAUCCUCUACAAUUUCAAAAAGAAGUCAGGUAUCUUUCAAUUUGUCACCAAGUACUAUUCACGGGCAUGGUCACAGGUACCGACAGCAGGAGCGAUGAGAUAAGGUGUUUUACUUGUCAGGGAGAGAAGAUAUGCCUUAAGGAGACUUAAGUCCAAUGAAUUUUAUAUUUUAAACAUUUUUAAAAUUGAAAUUGAAAUUAAAUUAAAC
rnacentral:lncRNA from 1 species